rnacentral:rRNA from 1 species
UGGGGAAUAUUGCACAAUGGGAGCAAGCCUGAUGCAGCCAUGCCGCGUGUAUGAAGAAGGCCUUCGGGUUGUAAAGUACUUUCAGCGGGGAGGAAGGCGAUAAGGUUAAUAACCUUGUCGAUUGACGUUACCCGCAGAAGAAGCACCGGCUAACUCCGUGCCAGCAGCCGCGGUAAUACGGAGGGUGCAAGCGUUAAUCGGAAUUACUGGGCGUAAAGCGCACGCAGGCGGUCUGUCAAGUCGGAUGUGAAAUCCCCGGGCUCAACCUGGGAACUGCAUUCGAAACUGGCAGGCUAGAGUCUUGUAGAGGGGGGUAGAAUUCCAGGUGUAGCGGUGAAAUGCGUAGAGAUCUGGAGGAAUACCGGUGGCGAAGGCGGCCCCCUGGACAAAGACUGACGCUCAGGUGCGAAAGCGUGGGGAGCAAACA